CCAAAGAGUAUAAUUUUAUCAUCCAUCACCACGCACAUGUGCCCGGUCACUGCUUUUGCCCUCCUCCCUCCCUCAUUCCCCUCUGGUAACC